CAUUGCAUCAUUUUGGCGUGGCCCGUUUGCAAAGAAAACAGCCGCGGACAAAGACGUCACUGUUCAUCGCACACCGCUGACAAUCCCGUCAUCGCCGUCUCAGCGCGCUUGUCCGCAGAAGAAGGCAUCCGUGGAAUGAGCACAAAGUCAAUUACAGCCUGAAGUCUGGAACGUGUAGACAUCACCAAACGCUGGAUUUCAUCCCUGGUGUUGUUCUGCCAACCAUCGACCACAACUGUCUUCAGUUCCUGAAUUUUCCAUUCAGUUUUGUCUUGAGCAAGUGAAAUGGUAUUGGUAUUGGUAUUGCUAAAUUGAAGUCAGUGUAUUUAUAACGUGCUGUGGCAAAGGGAAAAAGAUGAACAGGAAAUACUUUAUUUAAAACAAAGUCAUGCAAAGAGAACCCAAAACCCCAGCCUGAGACCAAACUUGAGGGACCUGUACAGCAACAACUCCAUUAUUUGUGCAGAACAUUUGAAAGGUUUUGAUUCGCACGGUUAAUAAGAAAGCUUUUAAGCUCUUGUGUACAUAAAUCAACUGUAGAGAAACAGCACGAACGCCAAGAAGUCUUCAGGUCAAAUGUUCUUGUUUUUCUUUGCUCGCUUGGUUUUGUUGUUCUGGUUCUGGUUGUUGUUCUUGGACUUUUCCAGCAGAGCGAGCG